rnacentral:rRNA from 1 species
GAUGAACGCUGGCGGCGUGCCUAACACAUGCAAGUCGAACGCUCGCAAGAGAGUGGCGUACGGGUGCGUAACACGUAUGCAACCUACCCUAUACAGGAGGAUAGCCUAGGGAAACCUGGAUUAACCCUUCAUAGUAUUAUUGGAUGGCAUCAUUUGAUAAUUAAACUGAGGUGGUAUAGGAUGGGCAUGCGUCUGAUUAGUUAGUUGGCGGGUAAUGGCCCACCAAGACGAUGAUCAGUAGGGGUUCUGAGAGGAAGAUCCCCCACACUGGCACUGAGAUACGGGCCAGACUCCUACGGGAGGCAGCAGUAGGGAAUAUUGGGUCAAUGGAUGCAAGUCUGAACCAGCCAUGCCGCGUGCAGGAAGAAGGCCUUCUGGGUUGUAAACUGCUUUUGCCAGGGGAUAAAAUUUCCAUGCGUGGAAAACUGAAGGUACCUGGUGAAUAAGCCACGGCUAACUACGUGCCAGCAGCCGCGGUAAU